GAUGAACGCUGGCGGCGUGCUUAACACAUGCAAGUCGAACGAAGCACCUUGAUUUGAUUCUUCGGAUGAAGAUCUUGGUGACUGAGUGGCGGACGGGUGAGUAACGCGUGGGUAACCUGCCUCGUACAGGGGGAUAACAGUUAGAAAUGACUGCUAAUACCGCAUAAGACCACAGCACCGCAUGGUGCAGGGGUAAAAACUCCGGUGGUAUGAGAUGGACCCGCGUCUGAUUAGGUAGUUGGUGGGGUAACGGCCUACCAAGCCGACGAUCAGUAGCCGACCUGAGAGGGUGACCGGCCACAUUGGGACUGAGACACGGCCCAAACUCCUACGGGAGGCAGCAGUGGGGAAUAUUGCACAAUGGGGGAAACCCUGAUGCAGCGACGCCGCGUGAGCGAUGAAGUAUUUCGGUAUGUAAAGCUCUAUCAGCAGGGAAGAAAAUGACGGUACCUGACUAAGAAGCACCGGCUAAAUACGU
rnacentral:rRNA from 1 species